AUCAAAUGUUACUUUCUUGUCUUUUAAUCGGCGUCACAAUGUAUCAGGGAGACAGCGCGAGCGCAUGCGCGCCAGUGUUUUCCAGGGCUGGUGUUCAUGUGUCUGGAGCAGUCCCACUAUGGCCAAGGCUCGGGAAGCGCCCAGGCGCGUAACUAAAACUGAAACUACACUCAAAGCUUCGCCAGCGGACUCCCGCCUACUUACCGACUCAAAGCCGUAAGCUAAUCAGACAGCAGCGCGACGCGACGCGACGCGUGUAAUAUUCAUGAGGCGAGGCUUUGCUGUUUGCAGCGCAGCUCCAGCGCCGCGUUUCUCCAGCGCGUCUGACCGCAGAGGGGAGCUUCUGUCGCGGCGCUUGAAUGAGGUUGAUGCUGCUCUGCUGCUCCUGGAAGGACGAACGCAUGGGAGAGGAGGAAGCUGGCGGCAGGUUGCCGGAGUGUGCGGGCUGCAGACAGCACAUCUAUGAUCAGCAGUACCUACAGGCCCUGGACUCGGACUGGCACACGCUGUGUUUCAGGUAAGAGCUGCGUCCGGGAGCGUGACAGGGCCGCCUCCUUACCUGGAGUUUGCACAUCACCAAAACUACUGCUACAUGAUCUACACCACCAAGACAACGAUUUCACCCAAGUUGUGGGUUUAGAGUCCAAAUGAUGAGGUGAAAAUAAAAUGAAUGGCCUUUCUGCUGAGUUGUUCUCGUGGGCCGUACACAGUGCAGUGAUCCACCAACAGAUGACCCCGACUCACUGACUCCAUCAGAGCAGAUCAUUUCACAUGCUCCAGAAAGAGAAAUGUUGGUUAUUCAUGGCAUUCAAUAGGAAAUACAUUUCAUUUAUACCAUGUUUAUCAAUAAAAUGAAUGAAAAUAAAUAGAAAUUGGUUCAUUUUAAUUACCCAAAUAUUUGUGUGCUUAUCAGAGUAAGACAUUGGGUCUCAUACACUAAUAAUUGCAUAGAUUAUUGGUAUUUAUAUACACAUUCGGACUUCCACCUAAUUCACAUCACAUGAAUUAGUUCUUAAUGUUAGUGACUCUGGAGUACUCUAAAUCAGCAGCCGCACGCACGAGGUCAGUCAAGUGCAUUAAGAUGCCCAGACCAUCUCUUUCCUUACAGCCUUUCGUCACUCUCAUCAAAGAUCCCCCACACGAACUCGUAUGACGCUCGCUGUCUACAGACGCACUCUCACCAGAUCUUUCAGCAAUGCAAAGAGCCAGUUCAUGCACCAUAAAACAGACCCAGCUUCCAGAGCUCUCAUUGGCCGGCUGGGCAGAUGCUCGCAGCUCCAGCUAUAGUCUAACACAGCUCGUCUUACUCUUUCACUGUAUAUGAUGAACUCAUUUUAAGACUAUUAUCCUGAGAUGAAACAUAUAUGAUAUACAUAUUUUAUCCUAUAGAUUAAAUACAUUAUUAAGAGAUGCGUAUGUGUGCAUUUGGCUGUUCCUAUAUUUUUCUUAAAUUUAGAAUAUAUUUUAGAAGGAAAAUGUUUUAGUGAAUCAUGAUUUCUCCGUGAAAACAUUUGUACGCAGGUUUCACAUGUAUUCAUGCUCGGUGUGAAUGAGAGCCAUUGUUAGUGUAUUCUAGUUUUCUUGUCUUCAGGCACUAUGUAGGCAGUCUGCUCUCAGCCAUUUGAAACAGAACUAGUGUGUUACUUUGCUCUGCUUGUGUAUUUAAUUAAACCUUUCUUAAACCCCUCAGUUACUGAGGUACAGUGUGGAGACUGAAGCUGAAGUGUCUGCGUUUCCUCAGAGCCAAACUAACGCUGAUGAACUCACUUCUUGCCCUAGCAGAGGAAGUACGGCGCUUACAGGACAGACAAGCGGCUCUGAGUGUUGAACAGAGCUGCUUUUGUCUUUGUUUUCUGUGUUCACCUCUUGUUUGGGGCUUUUUUGCUGUGUAAUUGUUUCUUUCCCAAUAAUCCAUCAGACCGCUGAGAGGGAUCUGUUCCUUCUACCAAUAACUGGAAGAUUUGUGUGUCACAUGAUCUCAGGUGGUGUGUAGAGGCCUCCAUCUCACCUGAUGAAAAGCGAUCUGAGAUUGGGAAACCAUUCAGCUACGUAAUUCUUUUCAGCAACAUUGUGGAAGUCUGUUUCAUCAUCAGCGGCACUGGAGGAAAACACUCUAAAUAAGUGAGAUUGUAAGGUGCUGACUGACCCAAUUAAAAAGAAUCUGUCCUUGUGUGUCUGUGAUCUUUGGUCUGUAGAUGUAGCUCAGGUUCAUCCUUCAGCGUGCGUCUCCUGAUCUGAGGACUCGUCUCCAUGUUCUGCUGUGUUCAUGUGUCAAUCACAGUCGUGAGGCCAAAAACCCACACAUUGUGAAACACACACAACCCACUCAUAUUUACACAAUCCUCAUCUCAAAGCCUCUUGUGAAUCGCUCACUGAUGCUGAAAUCAAGUUGCUGGCUGCUUAUCCAAACAGUUAAAGAAUGAGCUGUGUUCUUUAUGCUAAUGUUGGACUAAUCUGUGUGGCUAUAACAGGAACAGUCAUGCAUGCUGCUGGCUUUAAGCAAUAUCUGCACAGGAUUUCAGAAGUUUGUUGGGAAACUGUGUUUACAGGUUCAUACGAUGGUAACACUUAACAGCAAGAUAAAAAUAAUCAUGCUCAGACUUCUGUAUUUCAUUUGGUUGUAAAUAUUGUGUUAGUGUUGUUUUUAAUUUCACUAUUUGAAAAUAAAAUAUUACAUAAAAUAA